CUACUUUUAAGAGGGAUAGGCGAAGAAAUUGGAUUAAUACUAUAAUAUUGAUAUUUGGAUAAAUAUUAAUUAAAGUUUGGCGGUAAAAGAUGGGCAUGCGUUUUAUUAGUUAGUUGGUAAGGUAAGGGUUACAAGACUACGAUAAAUAGGGGUCCUGAGAGGGAGAUCCCCACACUGGUACUGAGAACGGACAGAUCCUACGGGAGGCAGCAGUGAGGAAUAUUGGACAAUGGGCGAGAGCCUGAUCCAGCCCUGCCGCGUGCAGGAAGACGGCCUAUGGGUUGUAAACUGUUUUUAUACAGGAAGAAACCACUUACCUGUAGGGUGCUGACCGUACUGUAAGAAUAAGCAACGGCUAGCUCCUGCCGGCCCCCCGGUAAUACCGAGGGUGCCAGCGUUAUCCGGAAUCAUUGGGUUUAAAGGGUCCCUACGCGGAUUAUUAACUCAGACGUGAAAUCCACCCCUUACUGUGGAACUGCCUUUGAUACUGGUAGUCUUGAGUUAUAUGGAAGUAGAUAGAAUGUGUACUGUAGCGCUGAAAUGCAUAGAUAUUACCCCCAAUACCCAUUGCCAACGCC
rnacentral:rRNA from 1 species